rnacentral:lncRNA from 1 species
GUUCUCUUGCUUACAAUGUUAACCGACUUAUCUUAUUGAUGAUGAUUUUUGGAAGAAUUCUGCCACAUGCGAUACAGUAUCACAGUUUGAUCGUCAAUAUUUUUUUUUUAGCUUGACAAAAUCUACCAAACGUUUAGUAUGACCAAAGGCUUAUUUUUCUAAUAUCGUCCAGUUACAUGUAGCACACACAAAGCAAGAUAGUCAGUCAUAUACCGAUUUUUUUUCUCCUACAAUAACAGAACAAUAAAGACUUUCAUUUGUUGGAUUUCAAAUAUAAAAGAAUUCUUUUUAUUUUGGUAGCGAUUUCAGUGUUAUCUUAAAUGUAAUAAAAAAAAAAACACACUGAAGUGUGAACUCCUGAUUCUUCCAGGGCACUAUCUGUUUUUCAUGGGGUUCGUGUUGCUCAAUUUUUAAAUUUCUGUGUUAUUUUUUGUUUCACUCGUUUGAUUUUAAGACAUGGUCAUCUGAGUUUUCUGUUUAUGAUUUAUGAUUUCACGCGUGGUGUCUGUUUGUAUUUAUUUGAUAUUAAGGAUCAACUUGACUAAUUUUUACUCUUAUUCGAUCUUUCUCAGGUUCAGAUUGAAUCAAUUCAUAUUGCCAGUUAAAACAGUUUGGCCAUUCAAAAUCAAAUUGACAAUAAAAUUAGAAAUGAAAUAUAGAUUAAAGGAGCUCAAUGUGGGAAUUUGUCGUGGAAGGUCAGUGUUUUGAACAUUUAAUCUAAAGGAGUGAAUAUAUUUUGCCAAUAGGGCGUGUUUAAUACUGGUAUUAAUUUACAGCCGAUUCUAUUGAGUGUGAAGGCAAAGGUAAUAUCUUUGGUUAGC